ensembl:processed_transcript Gm8378 predicted gene 8378
GCACAGCGCACACCUCUACCCGCACCCACCACCAGGACCCCUCGCCAUCACCUCCUUGAACCGGGAGGAUCCAGAGCCCGGACCGGGGUUCCCAGGGGGACUCUGCUCACCUUGCUCAGAUCCCAGCCCAAACCUGACGCGUUGAACAGACGUAGGCAUAGACGAGGAGGGAAGGCCGACGAGAGUUGCCAGAGGACUUCGUGCUAGAAGCAGACAGGCAGUCACAGCACCACUUGACGCUUAGAGGAAAUGGCUUUUAGAAAGUCAAAGAGCAGAUCCAGAUCGACUCACAGGCAUCCGACCCCAGAGGACUCUCAGGCUUGUGAAUCACAGGACCUGGAAAGAGGACACAGGAAAGGAAGCAGGACCUUUCCUGUUGUCUCUGCCAUGGAAGAGCUGACAGCACGCUACGAAUGGUCAGGAACCUUCUCCAUCCCUAGUCCUCUAACCCAAAGCUGGGCGAAGUUUUUAAAAUGCUUUCUAAAAACUGUCUGGUGGCUUGCAUGAUUACAUUUUG